UCCGCCUGGUAUAUAAGGGCCGAAUGGCCCGGCAGGCUACAGAGCGCGGAGCCGGCGCGGGUGCGCGGUGCGGCGCUGGUAGCCUGAGGACGCGGCCACCGAGGCUGGCAUUUCUUGUUCUGCGCUUCUCCCCAAGGACCCUAUGCUAGGCAGGCGCCCACCGUAAGCCUUCCGGGCCUUGUGAACCUGCAAACCCAAGUCCCAGAGACGAUCCGCCUUCGGCGCUUUCCGGCUUGGCAGAGGGGUUUUCCUGGCGGGGAUCUUUGGUUCGCGCUGGCGAUGCGCGGGGAAGAAAGGCGAGGAGCGGCGUCCGGGCUGGGUGCUGUCCCAGCGCGAGGAGGCGGGAUGCGCUCGCGGGGUCCGCGGGGCGCCCAGUCCCCGCCGCCCUCGUCGCGCGCCCACCCCUGGGGAAGAGAAUGCGGCCGCUUGGGGACCCCCGCCCGCGACCUCCGCGAGUCUGGAGCGCAGAGGACAGGGUCUGGACCAGGCGCUUUGGCCUUGGAUGGAAAGUGGGGAAUUGGGUGGGGGGCUGCGGACCCCUUAACGUGGAUUACUUGGUGUGUAUCAGCUGGGCUCAGAAGACCCACGACCUCCUCUGCGUCCGUGGAUUGAUUCGUUCUACUUAACAGCUGGGUCGCCAAGCUGGAGGUAUUUUUCCCUUUCCGCCCUGGUCUUCUCCUGUAGCGUGUGGCAGCCUUUUCCAGCAUGGCCUCCUGCGUUCCUGGUGCACUUUUUGGAGAAGGUGGCGGAAUCAGAGGUUUCUGGCUGACUCGGUGGGUGCUUUGUACCAGGAAAGACAAGAAAGAGGAUGGGAAGGAGGACUGAUCCACGUUCCCACCAGGAAGCUUAGUGGAACCCCCGUAUGCCACCUGGACCCCCUGGAAGGACCUGGCCAAGGCUGAACCACCUCUUGAGAGGCAAGAGCUCCAAAUUUGAUCAGAAAUUCUUGGCUGGGCAUGGUGCCUCAUGCCUAUAAUCCCAACACUUUGGGAAACCGAGGUGAGAGGAUCGCUUGAGCCUGGGAGUUCAAGACCAGCCUGGGCAACAUAAGGAGACCCCAUCUCUAAAGAAUAGUAAUAAUAAAAUAAAAAAUUAGCAGGGCAUGGUGGCAUGUGCCUGUAGUCCCAGCUACCCAGGAGGCUGAGGCAAGAGGAUGUAUGGAGCCUGGGACGUUGAGGCUGCAAUGAACUGUGAUUACCCCACUGCACUCCAGCCUGGGCAACAGAGCGAGAGACCCUGUCUCAAAAUAAUACUAAUAAUAAUCUUAUUUUGGAGAAUAAAGAAACCUUUGGAUUUGAGGAGCCAUUUGGGUAGAAAGCAAAGACCUUCACAAUGAGAAAUAGUCUGUGUUGACCUGAAGGAGCAGAGGGAUGCAUCGCUGGAGGUGACCUACAGUUGGAGAAGACUCAUUAUGCCAGACCUUGUCCUUCUUCCUUGUGGAAAAUGUUUCCUCUGCUGCUGCUGCUCAUGAGACUCUUCCCCCUCCCUGUCUCAGGCAACCAAAGGGCUUUCUACCACACCCUUUCUUGCCCCCCGCCUCCCAUGUCUGCUGUGCCUUUGUACUCAGCAAUUCUUGUUUGCUCCAUUAUCUUCCAGCCGGAUACAGAGUGAAUAGUUAACCACACUUAGGUCAAAUAGGAUCUGAAUUUUUGUUCCUGCUCCGUCUAAAGAGGCCAGUGUUUGUGCGUUGCAAGCAGCCUUGGAAUAGUAACUCUUCUCAUUUGUUUGGGAUCUCAUUGUAUUCCUCAGCCAUCAAGUUCCAGAAUGAUACACGGAUCAGUGCAGAAGUUCAUCAGGCUCUCGGACCUUAGGGCUGUUGGAGAAGGCUUCAGCAAGGGAACUGAUGGUGAAGGCUGGUGUUCUCCAUCCUCAACUUUCUUUGCUUGGAUCACACAUAAGUAUACAUUUGGAAGGGCAAAAAAUGAACACUGUUGUUCAUUGCAGCCGUGUUUUGUGACACAGAUGCACAGUCUGCUGUGAAGACCUUCUCGCAAGUGGCAGUUGGGGGUCCAUGCCAGAUCAUGGUGCUUCGUGACAGACUAACAGCUACUAGGGAUGGUGGCACUUAGUGAGGACACUCCUCCCCCAGUGUGUGCUGAUGACACAUACACACCUGACAAUAACUUGAGUCUUCUCUGUUCUUUUUUACUCUGUGGCCACCAUACACAUGAUUUAAAACCCUUCCUAAAUAUCUAUCAUGGUUCACCCUUGUCCAAAUGCAGAGUCAGAGCUACUUGUACUUUAUUAUUAUUUCCAAGGCAAAUAGAUGGCUUGCUUUUUACAAAAAGAAUUAAAGCUUUUGUAUGUUGCAGUUG